rnacentral:lncRNA from 1 species
UUUCCAGUAGCUAAUCCAAUAUUUCACUACAAACAAUAUCAAUAUCAUAAAACUCAUUACCCAUGAAGAUAAAAAAUUUAAAAUCAUUUGGAUGUAUCCAUGAUUCCACAUAAAAGUAUGCACUUAUAGAAAUUUGAUGGGUAAGCAAAAAAGUGAAAACUGAGGGAAAGUGAACUACAGGUCUAAUUAGUACCCCCUGUUAAUAUCGUCGUCUUCCAUGGUUAAUCCACCAAAGUUGCUUAUAUCAGUAUCCAGCUGAAAAAUAAUAAGCAACCCUUACUGAGUGUGUUUCAAUCCAGUUUCUAUCAGACUCCAAACCCCAUAAAUAUUUAUGAAAUUUGAACAGGUUAAGUUAGUGAUCAAACCAAGAUUAAUAGGUUAAGAUGUACUACAAGAAUAAUCACCACACUCCAAAGCCCCUGAUGAUGCACAAGGCUUUCACUACUAUAUGGUAGAGUCAAUUGUACAGUCUCAACCUUACCCGAAGUGCAGAAAUUGUUUGAGACUAGAACCUGUCACUACAAAAGGUCACCAAAUGACAACCUGGAAGUCAAUCUUAGGAAUGAAAUAAACCACAAUUGGAGUAGAGACAAUUCCUGAAGAAACCUUCAUAGACUAUAAUAUAAAACACUAGGCACUCUUUUUGGUGCCAGGAACAGGAAGAGUAAUAAAUCAACCAUGAUGCCACAAUUUAAAAUCAUCAAUAACCAGAUUUAGCUAAAUGACCACUGAAUCAGUAUGCCAUAAAUAUGACUCAAACUACAAACUCCCUCUAUGGCUCUGCCCCAAAACAUACACAACUCAAAAUCAAGGCCAAUCAUAGACCGUAGAACACUAAAUAGUAGUACUAUUUAGUGCUAGGAAAAGAAAUAAAUCAAGCAUGAUACCACAAUUCAAAAUCACGAGUAAGAGGAUUUAGCUGAACGACCCCUGAAUCAGUAUGCUAUAAAUUCCAAACUACUGAAGCCUACAACUGAAAUCUUCAAGCACAAAAUGCAAAAUCGAGGUCGAUCAUAGCAAUGUGAUGAACAACAACUGAACAAUUGAAGAGCCAGCAGAAACCUUUACAAUCUACAGCACCACACCCAGGUGAUCAACGCGCCCUCUAUACACCUCCAUAAGCCCCGACACACGAUCCUGAAACUGCCCCCACAAACCUCUCGAAAAACAACUUCUCGGUGUUGAUGAGGUAGAAGAGGGUGAAGUUUGGGGCUUUGGUUUGGGAUUGGGAUUUGGAAGAGAAGGGGUUGAUGAAAAUGCAGGGUUUGUGUUGUUGUUGAAGUAAAGAAGAGAAAUGGGUUAGUAUUGAAAUGAGAGAAAUGGUGUUUGUUGAGCUCCAUAAUACAUUACCAGGAGGAGUUCCAUUUUUGGGUUGCAUGACACAACAAUUAGUUGUUCGAUCAAGGUCUCUAGAGACCUUAUGGAAAACGUUUGAUAGAGACUGAUAUUCAACACUUAAAAAGAGAGUAAAAAAAUAUAUAAAUAUAAUAAGAUUUAUAAUAUAAUGAGAGAAAAAUACAGAAAAAUAAGAGGUGUUAUUUAAAAUAAAGGGUGGUUUGUUCACAACUUAUAGACAUAAAAUAUGUUUUGGCUAAUGAAUUAAGAUUGAUGGAAAACAUCAAAGAUUGUUGAUAUAAGUGAUUCGAUAUUUGAGUCUUUUAAUUAAAAUUUAAUAUUUGAUUCCGAUUUAAAUAUAAAAUUUACAACUGGAUAUCAUUUUAUCCUAAAAUGAUAGGUUCUAGUGGAUGAAGAAAAAAGAUCACAUCUCUCUACAUACCAAAAAAAUUAUUAAAGAUUACAAAAUUAAGAAAGAGAAUAUUAAAUCUGAUAUGAAAUACAUAACAUUUUAUCAUUUUUAAUAAAUUUUAAUUUAUAAGAAAAAAUGUUUAAAAGAAUGUGAAAGUGUAUUUUUAACAUUUCUUAUUGUGUAUGUACAUUAAUAAUUAAAAAAUAAAUAACUAGAUUUGUAAUAAUUUUUUAAUACUGAAAAAUAUGAUUAAAAUGUUCUUAUAAUAUAUUAACGAAGCAAAAUGCAUAGACAGUCAAUUAAAGUAACUUUAUUUAGUUUUCUAAUUAAAUAAAAAUAUCAUUAUUUGGAUUUUUUUUCUCUUUCUCCUUAUUCCAAAUUGCAAAAGAUAGAAAGAGAAUUGAAGUGAGUUUUCAAAGUGGAAAAGAAGUUAGUUUGGAAAUGAGAAUUUUGUGUUUAUGCAUAAUUUUUUUUGUUACCUUCAACCUUUACAUACAAUUUGUGAAUAUUUACGUCCAUGUUUGAAUUUCAUUUGUAGACCUUAAAAAUAAUUUUAUUCAAAGUAAUGAUUUACUUCAUUAUUUUGUACAUUGGAAUUUGCAAAAGCAUUUUUUUAUGUUUAAUUUAAAUAUGGCUUAUAUUAUAUUGAUAACUCAUAAGUUAUAAGAGAGUUCAAAACUUUUGUUAAUACGAGAGAUACUCGACUCAAUCUGUUAAGUAAGGUUUCAUAUUCGACUCUUCUGAAAAAAAAUGAUUGAGUGAAGAAAACUUAUUAAAGUAACCAAUCAAAUUUUCUAACGAAAAUUAAUUACUAAUAAAUUUUAUGGAUAGUCUGCAUCAAUUCUAUGAGUACCAAAAAAAAAGUUUCUUUUUUUCUUAAAGCAAUAAUUUCCUUCUUCACUAUUUAUACAUUGAAAUUCAAAAGUAUAUAUUAGAAUUUGAAAAAAAUCCUUUCCCAUUUUUUAUCCGAACAUAACUAAAGUCGAGAGAGUCCUUAAGGGACUUUUUUUUUACAUUCAUGUAUUGUUUUCCAAUUAUUUCAGGGUCACUUUAUUAAUAAAGAUGAAAUUAUUGAAAAUAUUUUCACAAAAAUACUUUCCCAAAAAAAACAUGAUCACUUUAUAAAAACAGUGUGGUUGGAGUCGAACUGUUUAUAUAAAAUGGUUAGUUUUUUUUCUUUUUAAGAAAAGAAGUUUUUUGCUUGGCCCUAAUUGAGAGAGUUUUUUCAAAGUUUCGUUGGAACUUAAAUAAUUGUCACUACCCAAUCGCCUGCAUCUUUUUCAGAGAUAGUCUAUUAAGUCACUCAAGGUUUAGACUAUUAUUCUAACACUACUACAAAAUUAGUUUUCUACAUCGGUUAAAAACACCCUUCUACAUCGGUUGUCAUGCGUCAUUGUAGCUGAUGAUGUUGAAACUCCGUUGUCUUUCUACAUCGGUUGACGAACCGCCUUAGAAUGGGUUGGGUUUGAAGACAGGUCUCAAACCACACCCAUCUUAGAAUCUCGACCGUUCUACAUCGGUUGUGGCCUCGGACCGAUGUAGAAUUAUGCUCAUUUUAAAGGUUCAAAAUUGAGUUACAUAGUUCAAAAAUUUUGAGAAGCUAGAAGUGUUGUGAGUAAAUAUGCAAUUUGGAAAGAAAGGCAUCAAAUAGAAUUCUCAAUGCAUAGUUCAAACUUGAAAGUUCUUGAAAACAAGAAAUUAAAGAAACGGAUUUCAUUAUUAUAUUGCAAAAAGAAAAAAUUGAAUAAUCAAAGUGUAUAAACCAACAUGUGCUUCCAAAUAAGAAAAUAAUCAUACUUUUAAAUCUCUAAAAGAUGUCCUCUCAUCUUUUAAAAAAGUUAUAUAAAGAGUUUCUUUAUAUUUAACUCAAUGUUAAUUAAUAGAAAACUCAUUUUAACUUUAUACAGAAGCUUAUCUUAUUUUUUUUUUUCUUAGAAACGUUUCUAUUGAAGCUUACCCAAACAUGCCUAUAUUUACAUUAUAUAUACCAAAUUACAACCAUUGUGCAAAUCACAAGAUUUUGCAUUCAUUGUGGAGUCAACAACAAUAAUUACAACAUCAUAUACUCAACAUAACAGGAUGGCUCACAACUUUAUAAGCAUUUUUUUAAAAUUUUUUUGUUAGGGAAUACUUAAGAAGGCUAUAAUGUAUUUCGAUCAUACAUAUAAGAUCCAUCGACAAUUUACAAGAAGAAAUCAGAAAUAAGUUAUAUAUCUGUAAUCAACAAAACACUUUGAUAGAAAACACAAGAAAUAUUAAUAGGCAUAACCGCAUAACUAUUAGGCCUUAGAAAUGAUAGCGAGUAUAAGAGGUUCAAAGAAUAGAUAAAAUAAAUUAUUGGAAUGUAGUCACUAGCAAGAUAUAAGAAAACAAAAAUUAAGAAGAAAAAAAAAGAAGAGGAACGCUAGAGUAAGGAAGCUGUAGCUAACAUUUGUAAGCUUUAGUUUUCCAAGACCAUACCAUGAGCAAAGAUCAUCCCAUUUUAAUUAAUUAUUAGAAAUGUCAUCAAUUUAUUAUCUUAAUGUUCGUAAUCAGUGAAUAGUAUAAUGGAAACUGGCAUAAAGAAGAAUGCAAGACUUUUUUUACCAAAUUGUUGAAAAGUUAAAAUUUGUAGUUCAAUCAAAUUUGAAAGUAAGAACAAAAUUCACAAACAAAGACAAUAUGUUAAAUAAUGGAAUGAUGUUUAGGUAAAAUUUUAAUACCUUGAUUGACAAAAUGGGGGAAGGAAGGAAAAUUGAUGAGAAAGGAUGAGGAGAAUUUAGAGAAAAAGAGAUAGAAUACAUAAAAUAGGGUUUAUAUAUUUUUAUAAUAUAUAAGGGGAGUGUAUAAGGGUAUUUUGGGCACAUAAAGUAUUUAUAACGGUAAGAUUUUAAAGAAAUAAUAAAAAGAGAGUGUAUUUAUAGAAGGGAGACUAGAUAUAGCAAAUGCUACAACGGGAUGAUUAGUUUAUAAGCAUCACACAAACACUUGUAAGACUAGGUUCUAAGUUCUAAUUCGAUGAAACUCGAAUCUUCAGCGCCAGAGCAAGAGAGAGAAUAGAAAUCUAUAUCAGCUUCUUGACGAUGAAUGCAGAAUCCAAUUUCUAAACUCGUGAGUCUCACUUGUGAUCUUCCAGGUCCUUUAUCAGUGUAUCAUCUCUUUCUCCUCUCUCUCUUUCUUGUAAUUCAAAAAAUUUAAGCGUUUUUUUUUAACCUAUUAGGUUAUUCAUUUUCUUGGCCCAAUCUUGUUGAAACAAAAUUAGGGUUUGUAAGCCCUAUAAAGAUGACCCUGACCCUGAAAACGUAAAAAUGUGGUUGCCACUAUCUAGAUGGAUUAAUUAUUCAUCUGAAAAAAUAGGGUCUAUGAACCCUAUAUCCUUGAUCUUGUCCCUGAAAACGGAAAAGUUCGGUUGCUACUAUGAGAUGAAUUUUUUUAAUCAUCAUUUACAAAUUUGGUAUAUAAACCCUAUAAGAAUGGCCCUGUCCCUGAAUCGGAAAAGUGUGGUUGCCUCUAUGAGAUGAAAUUCUAUAUUCAUCAUCUGCAAAAUUUCAGGAUUUACGAAUGACUCUAUCCCUGAAAUCAGAAAACUGUGGCUGCCUCUAUGAGAUGAAAUUCUAUAUUCAUCAUCUGCAGAAUAUCAGUAUCAAAGAAUGGCCAUGUCCCUGAAAUCAGAAAAGUGUGGUUGCCUCUAUGUUGAAAUUCUAUAUUCAUCAUCUGCAGAAUAUCAGUAUAAAAGAAUGGCCAUGUCCCUGAAAUCAGAAAAGUGUGGUUGCCUCUAUGUUGAAAUUCUAUAUUCAUCAUCUGCAAAAUUUCAGUAUACAAGAAAGGCCAUGUCCCUGAAUUCAGAAAAGUGUGGUUGCCUCUGAGUUGAAAUUCUAUAUUCAUCAUCUGCAAAAUUUCAAUAUACAAGAAUGACCCUGACCCUGGCCCUGAAAUCGAAAAAGUGUGAUUGCCUCUAUGAGAUUGUUUCUUUAUUCAUCAUCUGCAAAAUUGGAGUAUAUGAAUCCUAUAUAAGAAUGACCCUGGUCAUGUAAUGAGAAAACUGUGGUUGCCUCUAUGAGAUGAAUUCUGUAUUAAUCACCUACGAAUUUUUGGUAUAUAAGAAUGACCCUAACCCUUAAAUUGAAAAACUGUGGUUGCUUCUGAGUUGGAUUCUUUAUUCAUCAUCUGCAAAAUUUGUUGUGGUCCCAUUUUUGUUCUCAUCUGUUGAUGGGUUUUUUGUCUGUUGAUGUUUGGGUCUGAGUGGGGAAAAAAAUGAGGCUUUUUAUAUUGCUAUUGUCUCCUCUUUGCUCUCACUCUAUACUGUAAGUUGAUGUAUGCAAAUAAUGUUUGGUCCUGUUGCCCUUCAUUUAUUGUAUUUGUUAUUUCCGUAGCCUAAUCUUAGUUUUUUUUUAAUUUUUAUAUAACAUCAAUCAAAAUAAGAGAGAUGAGAAUGAAAGAGGAAGGGAGAGAUUGAGAUGAAAGGAGAAAUUAUCUAACGUUUAUUAACUUCAUUAGUUGUAUUUGUAAUUCUGUUGAUUCCUUUUCAUUUGUUCUAGGUUCUCGCAUUUCAGGUGUCAUUUACUCACUGCUAUAUAAUUUUAAUUCUUAGAGUUCUUUGCACUACCUAGGGGAUUCAUUAGGGAACAAAUGACUCACAGCUGCUGUUAGAGUGGCUAGGGGAUUCAUUAGGGAACAAUUAAAAUGCUCAUUUGGACAGAGAGAGAUUGAAGGCCCUUUUUAUUCACAACAGUAGUUUCAAAAGUAACACAUGGGAAUAAUGCAAUGAUAAGGCCACACAACAUGUUUGACUUGAAAUGAUAUUAAAUUCCUAUUGGUUUUGACACUUUUGUAUAUGUGUUUGCAUGCAUGUUUCAACCUUCUGUUUAUGAAUGGUGGAAUAUGAAACUUCUUAUAGUUUAUUGCUUUCUUUGUUUACUUCAUUCUGAAUUUAAACAUUGUAAGUAAUUGUGUGGUGAAAUACUUCACUAUUUCUAACUAACUAAUGAAUUUACUUUCUAUGCAAACCUCUUUUUUAGAAUUUAUAUUAUUCUAAGCAAGUCCUGAAUGCAAAUAAGAAAAUUGUAAUGUUUACAAUGAAAAAAAAUGUUUUUUUUUAUACUGGAAAUGAAAAAUAAUAUUUUCUUCUUCUUGACUUUCCAGCCGAUGAAUUGUCUUAUUCAAAUGAUAACUUCACUUUGAAGGCUCAAGCAUUUCCUAGCAACAUCAGUGUCUUUUCCCUUGAAUAUGUAGCAAGUUUGUCUUUAUGGAGACAUUUGAUUUGACUUUGAAGGCAAGUUAUCUUUCAACAUGCUUGGUUGAGUUUUUGGGUGCAACUGUUUUUUUUUCCUCUGUUUUCACCAACAUGGUUUACAACAACAAUAAAUUAGAUGUGAAAUUUGUGGGAGGAUGACAAUAUAGUGGUGGUUGUAGGAGUUUUCCUAUGUAUUUAUUUUUAGAUUAUUCUUAUGUGAUAUUCUUUAUUUGGAACAUCUCCUUAUGAUCCAGUGCAAUGUAAUAUUUUUACUUCUUUUCUUAGAAGACAAAAUAGAGGAGAAAACAAGUGAAUGGUGAAAACUCAGUAUGGAAUUAGGUUCAGCAGAAUCUAUAUACACAGGUAUCUUCAUACUGUAAUAGAAUAGUAUAAUUAUGCUGACUGUAAACUGUAGGAUUCAAUAAAUAAAAAUUAUUAGAAUGUAAUUGAUUUUUAGUUUAGUAGUUUGAACUGGCCUUUCAGAUACUUUGAGUGAGAGAAUGAUAUUGAGAAUUGGUAAAGGCUUCCUCUAGAAGAAGGAAAUUAUUUAAGUUAUGAUGAAUAUUGUAGUUGACAUGCUUGAAGUAUACAGUUUUGCCUUUGCCUUGGUCUAUAUUGUUUAAGCUAUAGGGAUAUUCAAGGGAAUACACCAAUUGAGAUUGUGAUCUAUAUUUGCUCUAUAAUAAAUGUUUUUAAUUUAGCCUUUAUAUUAAUCGAGGUUGAUAGACAUAUAUAUUCAGAUUGUACUGUUGUUAAAAUAUAAUGGGAACAUUUCAAUGUGUCAGGUUAGCCUUGCUGUGAAAUUUUGACCUUCUUGACUAUUUCUUUCUUAGAAGUUGACGUAGUUAAGAGGAGCUUACAAUCGUAGAAGAAUGUCCAAUGAUUGAAAGUGUGAGUGCCUAUUUGGCCUUCUAAAAUCAUGCACUUGCUUAGUCCUUCAAAUACUAGAAUACAAAGUAUGCUUAUUCUCUAACUUUUGUUGAAUUUUCUUUGUUUUGUACAAGUAUACAGUUUUUCCUGUCUACAAUUUAAAAUACUCUCACUUACCUUGAAUUUUCUUUAUUUUGUACAAACUUCUGUGACAUGCUCUGUUUUGGGAAAAUUUAUGCAAGUUUUUAAAAUAAAAGUGAGUUUGUGAAGUAAUGACAUAAUUCAAGGAAGUUAGGACUUAGGAGUAAACUAUGAGUAAUUUGUAGAAAUUAGUUUUGGAGCAUUCUAAUAUAAAAUCUUUCUUGUUAGCAUGUAAAUGUCCAGGUUCUUUUACUAUCAUCGAUUGGAUUACAUACACCGUUUGCUGAUUUGUGUUAGAAGUCUUUGUAUCACUUAUGUUUUUUAUUUUUUAUUUUCAUUUUACUAACUUCACGGGAAGACAAAAUCAUAUAUCUCUAAUUGUGGAGGCUUUUGGAGAUAGUUUUGAAUCACCACUAGCUCGUUUCUUCCUUCAUCUUUUCUUUAUAUUUUUCCUCUUUCCUUUUUUCACUUAAGUUUCUCAAAAAAAUAUUCUAUUCAACUUCUGCAGGAAGCAUUCUGUCUCUCCCACCUUCUCUCUGCCAACAUGUUAUGUGCUAGUUGAAGAAACAACCUUUCCUUCCGCUCUUGCAUUUCACAUUCAUCUGGCUUAGGAUACAAUCAUACAACUUCUCUAAAUAUUGUGUUUUUCUUUUUCGCAGCAGGUUUCAAGAUACCUCAUCUACACUGUUGGAAUAUCGAACAUCUCUAGUGGAGCAUUCUAAUCUUUGCAUUGAAAUAUUGGUAAAAAAUGUUUUAAUUCAUUAAUUUCUACUCAAUUUGGUUGCUCAGUUCACAAUUUAAGAAGUGAUAAUGUUAUGCACUCUUAAUUUAGCUAUACACAAUCAUAUCUGUUAGGAACAAUUAUUCUUGAAUUCAUUUUCUUAAAAUUUAUUUAAUUGAAUAUUAUUUUAAGUAUAUAAUGUUUUGUUUAUCUACUUUUAUCUUCGUAUAUUUAUUUAUAGAGACUUGGAGUAGUUUUUAAAGAAUCAUUGAGGUCAUUUGCAUCAAUCGCGACUAAAGGCUGCAUGUUAAAUAAAUCAAUUUGAUUGAUGAUUUUGAUUCAUAUUAUAGUGAUUAGUUCUUAUGGCAAUUGAAAUUCUAUAUUUCAUCAUGGGAAAAAUUUCGGUAUACAAGAAUGACCCUGUCCUUGAAAUCAGAAAAAAUGUGGUUGCCUCUAGGAGAUGAAAUUUUAUAUUCAUCAUCUGCAAAAUUUUGGUAUACAAGAAUGGGCUUGUCCUUGAAAUUGGAAGAGCAUGGUUGCUGCCUUUAUGAGAUGAAAUUCUAUAUUUCAUCAUUGGCCAAAUUUCGGUAUAUAAGAAUGACCCUAACCCUGAAAUUGAAAAAGUUUGGGUUCCUCUAUGAGAUGAUUUCUUUAUUCAUCAUCUACAAAAUUGGGGUAUAUGAACCCUAUAUAAGAAUGACCCUACCCUUGUAAUAAUAAAAGUGUGGUUGCCUCUAUGAGAUGAAUUCUUUAUUCAUCAUCUGCAUAUUUUCGGUAUAUAAGAAUGACCAUACCCCUAAAAAUUGCAAAACUGUGGUUGCUUUUAAGUUGGAUUCUAUAUUCCUCAUCUGCAAAAUUUGGGUAUAUAAACACUAUAAAGUUGAUCAUAACCAUGUAAUGAAAAAGUGUGGUUGCCUCUAUGAGAUGGAUUCUUUAUUCAUUCUUCUGCAUAAUUUGGGUAUAUAAAUCCUACAAGGUUGACGUUGACCCUGUAAUUGGAAACGUGUGAUUGCCUCUAUGAGAUGAAUUGCGGUUGCCUCUAAAAACAAAAUAAGGGCCCUGAUUCUAUAAAAGGAGAAUUGCGGUUGCCUCUAUGAGAUGAAUUCUUUAUUCAUCAUGUGCUAAAUUAGGGUAUACAAACUCUAAGGUUGAUCCUGACCAUGAAACGAAUAAGUGCAUUUGGCCCUAUGUGAUGGAUUCUUUAUACAUCAUCUGAAAAUUAGUGUAUAUAAAUCUUGUAAGGUUGAUCCUAAAAACAGAAAGUGUGGUUGCCACUAUGAGCUGAAUUCAUCUGAAAAAUUAGGGUUUCUAUAAGGUUGACUCUAACCCUCUAAACAGAAAAUUUGUGGUUGGCCUUUAUGAGAUUGAUUCCUUAUUCAUUUAAAAAUUAAGGUAUACAAUGAUGACCCUAACCUUGAAUUCGCAAAAGUGCAAUUGUCCCUUGGAGAUGAAUUCUUUAUUUUAAAAAGAGAUGUUAAUCUUGAGCGUUAAUGACCCUAAACCAAGCUACAUGUUUAAAUCUUUGUUGCAUGACUUCAAAUCAAAAGACAUGUUUAAAGGUAUAUAAACCCUGAGAAGUGCAAUUGCCUUAAUGAGAUGAAUUCUUUUCUCAUCUGAAGUAUAUAAACCCUAUAAGAUGACUCUGGCCCUAAAAAUGGAAAAGUCUAGCAGUCCGUAUGAAAUAUAUUCUUUAUUCAUCAUUGAGAUAUAUUGACUGGGAUUUCUAAAAUCUUUGUUUAUUGUGACUUUUUUUUGUAUCAAAAAGAAAGUGUGAGAUGAAGAUGAGAAUGGCAUCCCAACUAUGUUGACACCCCAUCAACAUCUCGAAAAGCACACACCAUGAAUAUCAUUGCAAUAUAAAAAGAUAAUUGAACAAGCACUUGGGAGGACCAAAUCGAGCCCAAUGGAUCAACACUAAGAGAACCUAUAGUGAGGAAGCUCAUUUUUACCUAACGAAUCUUGUAAAAUAAAAUUUGGGGGAGAAUCCCACCAAGAAAUAUCUAUAUUUUGAGCAUCAAAAGAGGAAAGUUUGUCCACACCAGCAUUGUCUUCCCUAAAAAUGUGAGAUAUUUCUUGGUGGCAAAUAUAUACCAAGGCACAAAACUCUGGGUAGUGAAAGCAAGAGUCAACAACUUGGAAUCAGUUUUCAGCCACAACCAGGCCUAUUUUUCUUCAGUUGUUUUCUUAAUCACAAUUAUGACAACCAUAAUUUUUUAUCAUAAACGCAAAUUGAAUGCCAAUAUUGACAGCGAAAGCUUUAAUAAACAUUAUAUCAGAAUUUAGAAAAAUACCACCACUCAGCCAUACUUGGGCUUCCUCUUGCAACCCCAUCAAUAUUGCAUUAGAUCCAGGGUAGUAUAGGUGGCCUCCAAAUAACAGUUCCUAUUUUGUCUGCUUUCCUUGGAUGACAGACCAUCAAGAAAUGCUUAAGGAUUUGGAAAUCAGCAACUGAAUUCUUCAUGGUUCCUUUAGAAGUGGAACCUGUGAUGUGAACUCAUGCAGUGAUGUUGUUAAGCGCUGACUGGAGGGGCAAAAUGAUAUUCUCAAAUAUGAUUUUAUUCCUCCUGUUCCAGAUGAAGAAAAAAAACCAAGGUAAUGGUGGCCAGAACCAUGUUCGAGACUUGGGAUGACCUUUUAGCCAAUCAAACUAUUGAUGGAGGAAAGGUCUGUGCAACUCAGUUUGGAUUCCACCCAAGACCAAAUCCUACAAGCAAACUGACAAUUAAGAAACAAGUGUUCUGUUGACUCAUCGUUGUGGCAACAAUUAGAACACAUUGAAACAAAUGUUAUACAUCUUUUCUUCAAGUCUUCAUACGUUGGGAGCUUGUUAUGGAGAGCCCGUUAGAGGACAAUAGUUUUAGGGGGAGGGGGAUAAAUUUAUUCCUAAUCAGUUUAACCCAACUGACCUCAUUCUAUCUAGGAAACAAAACAUGAUGAGAAUCUUUCAAACAGAGUUCCCAUUUGAGAGAGCCUCCAAAUAAUGCGAUCUUCCCCAUAAGGGGGCACUGGAAUAAUGAUGCUUCUAAUGGAAUCCACUAUGUUUAGAAAGUUGUCAACCAGAAAAUGUGGGAGAUCACUCACCGUCUUUCCAAAAAUCACUGACUUUAGCUUUCAACAAAGACCUCUCCAAUGGAAUGUUUAUCAAGUCUGCAAUAAACUCAUUCAACCACUUAGUGCACUAGAAGCCGGGAGUUAUGAAGCACAAUAUUAAUAUUAUGCUUAAUACCUUACCAAAGAGAAGUAAUAUGAGCUCGAAUGAAAUGAUGAUUGCUUGCAACUCUGGCUCGUAGCAUUAAAGCCAACUGUAGAUCCGAAGAAACUACCUCCCAACUAAAAUUCUGUAUCCAAAGGUCUAUAUCUUUUAAAAGAGCAUUGGGCCAUUGCUAAACAUGAAAACUGUAUGUAAGCAUACUAUGAAUAACAGACUUCACUAGAAGAAAUCUUCCCAUGACAGAUAACAAUUUCCCUUUUUAGGCAGAUAAUUUCAAUUUAAUUUUGUUAGGAGUAGAGAACUGAGCAGAGCUCGCUAUAGGAAAUAAUAGGCCUUUUUUUACAAGGUCUAAAAUACCUCUGUCGAGAGCUUCUUUAGCAAUGCAAAAAAGAAGGGAUAGGGGACCCCCUGCCUAAUCCCCCUAGUGCAAGAAAAGUAGCCCACCGAGUGCUCGUUAACUAUGACAAAUAACUUGGCUGAUAUGAGAAUAGUGAGGAUUUAGGAACUAAACUUUUGAUGGAAGCCAAAAGCUUCGAGCACAUCCAUUAAGAAGUCACAAUGAAGGGUGUCAAAAGCCUUCUUUAUGUCAAUCUUUAUAGCCACAUUGCCCCGGAGUAAAUUAGCAGCUUCUAAGGCUGUGCAAAUGCAGUAAAAAAUGGUUCUUCCUAGAAUGAAACCUCUCUGAUUGCUGGAAACAAUUUUGGGAGCCAGCAAAGCAAGCCUCUCUACCAGUAUUUUGGUAACUAUCAUGAACUAAUAAUUAGCCAAAGCAAUUGGCCUAAAGUCUUGAACAUUAUUCGUUCAUGGAAAUUUAGGAAUAAGAACAUUAUUAGAAUUUAAAAACGACAAAAUCCAAUCUUUCUCAAAAAGUUGAGUAGUGGAUUUAUAAACCCUUGUGGCUACGAUAUCCCCAGUUAGUGUGGUAGAAGAGACCUCCAAACCUGUCGGGUCCAGGGACACUACCUUUGUUUAAACCAAAAAUUGCAUUUUUAACUUCAUCCAUUGAUGGAAUAGUAGUGAGCAUGUCAUAUUGUUGCAACUCAAUAAAAGAAGCUGGUAUUUCUGUCACCACAAGUAUGCCACUGUGCCCUUGACUUGUCCUUUUAAAAAGAAUUUUGCAUGAAGAGGGCCUGCUGGAGGGUCAUCUCUGCAGCUUUUUUAGAUUCAAACAAAUGAUCAUAAUAACCAUCAGUAGCAAUUUGUUGCUACACCAGAUUUAAGGAAUUCAUAGCCACAUUAACAUCCCCCAACAUAUUUUUAUUCCAGAUAUUGAGCUCCAUUUUCAGAUUUUUGAGCUUUUGAGCCAUUUCAAACAUAGGACGACCCACAAGGGAUCUAGACCAAGAGUUAGACACAAUUUGAUAGCACUUAGGAUGAUUUACCCACAAUUUGAUAGCACUUGGGAUGAUUUACCCACAUACUCAUGAAUUUGAACGGGGAUGAGAAGGAAGGUUGGGAACUUUCAAGAUUCAAUAGGAUCAAAUGAUGGUCUGACUUUGGACGAGAAAAGGUGCAACAACUAAGGACAAGCCUCAGUUAAGCUUUCCUCAUUACAAAGGGCUUUAUCAAGACGAAGCUGAAUGCUAGAGGCACCUUGUCUGCCAUUGCUCCAAGUGAAAGGAACACCAACAGUGGGGAGGUUGGUAAGAUUACAAGCUUCUGACCAAGCUUUGAACUCAUUACAAGACGCUUGAGAGAAGGAAGUUGACCUCUUUUUUUCUUAUGAGCUCCCAUAAUGGCAUUGAAAUCUCCAAUGUAGCACCAUGGGCCAUGAGAUCUGUCUUUCAAGUGUAAUCAAUUAGCAUGUCACGUAGUAAUCAAUAAGCAUGUUUAAUUCUGGAAAAUUAUAUUUUAGCAUGCAAGAUAAUCGAUUAGCAUAUCAUGUAAUCUAUUAUUUUGAGUUGAAGCAGAUAUCUAAGCUCUUUGGGUAAACCUAUAAUCGAUUACCAACUUGUGCAAUUGAUUAUUUGAGUGAAGACAAAAACUCUUACUCUUCGUUUGAACCUGUAACCUAUUAAUACCUUAGGCAAUCAAUUACUAGGCGUCUGAAACAUUUUCAGCAACUGAAAAGACGUCUCCGUGAUAACGAUAGUUGAAUCGUUCCAAUCAAAUUGAAACAAAUCUAAUAGUAUUAAUUCAACUCACUAAAUCCAAACAAUUCAAAUUAUCACAGUUCUACAGAUAAGGAUCAUAUUAUGAAAGUUUCAGUCAAUGUCAUUAGAGGAAGUUCAAUCGAAUUAAUCCUUAAAUUCUUUGAGAUCACAAAUCAAAUUGAAAUAUCAUCCAAUCAAUCCGUGAUUAGAUUCGAAUUAGGAAAUGAAUCUGUAACCUAAUUCAUCUCCAAUCCUAAGCGCAUUCAUAAUCAUGAAAAUCAAAAAUAGGAUUGGAGAAGAAGAUGAACAUUCACAUAAAAUUUGAAAUACUAAACCAGAUCUCAAAUUCCUAACAGAGGGAAAUUUCCAAGAACUAGGUGAAAAUAGUGAAGGUUUUGUCUCCUUCCUCGAAUAUGCCUGAUGUUUCUUAUAAUGCUUGUAUCUGAAAUCAGUUGAGUCCACUUGCCGUUUGAUGAAAUGUCAAUUUGGUGUAAUAGAAGCAUGCUAAUGUGUAGUUGUGGUAAAUAUAUAUAUCAGUCAUUAUCACUUUGACUACAAUGACUUGCAAUCAGUUUAGUGUUACUUACAAUUAUCACUGGCAAGUACAUAAUAUGAAAAAGCUACAUCUAACAAAACAGCUAAAAUUUUUAAUUGUUUUUGCAGUGUCAAUCCCAGAUUUCCAUAACCAAUUUCAAACUUCUAGAAUUUCAAACCAGUUUUGCAUUGUGUCAAUUGUUUCUGACUAUUUAUUGCUAACAUGCAGAACUGACUGUAGAAGUAACUGGUCACAAUGCCUAUGAGGUAUGAGCCUGUUCCAGAGCCUGGAUCUGUUGUCAUUUGCACAAUUAUAUCUUUGUCUAUGGCUAUGUGUUGUCUAAUACAACUCUUUGAGAAGCACGAAGAUUACUAGCUAAGUGUUCCCCCAAACUAAUAUCCUUAUUCACUUGUAUGUAGAUCAGGAACAAGAACCAGGACAAUACUAUGUAGAUUGAGAGCACGAAGUGCAAAGGUGAAUGGGUCUCAAAUAGUACUCGUAAUAAGGUGAAAGAGUUUCAGAUUUUUCUCUCUACACCACUUAGUGCAAAGGUGAAUGGGUUUCAAGCACUACUGGGAGUAAUAAGGUGAAUGAGUUUCAGAGCAUGAAUUUGUAUUAAAAUAAUCAAGGCAUAUAAAAAUUCAUUUGGUUUUGUUGAUCUGCAGUCUUAAUUUGUGGAGUGAUAUUGCUGAGAUGUGGUGUUUUAAUUCAAUCUAUAGACCUGGUUUCAGUUGAACACAAUCAAUCUUGAUCUUUUUUAUUUGUUUUGUUAAAUGUAGGUGGAAGAACUUGAGAAAGAUGUUGUGGAGUUCGUAAAGAAAACAAAAUUCUAGUUGCAAAAUUAAUGUAAGAACUUCUGAGUGUUUUCCUUGCUUCCUCCUAUGUAUCACUAGCAAUCUCAAUGUUGGAUGACUUGUGAUUGAAGUCUAGAAAUGGUUCGCAAUGAAGUGGAUUCAUGUAGACAGUGGGAGCUGGAUGGGACUGUUCUGUUCAGCACACCUGGCUAUAUAUGGAGUUAUACUCAGUAGCAGAUGGAAAAUACAUAUUUGAGAUUUGUCACUUUGUUUCGAUUCAAUCUUCAUAUGAAACUAUCGUAGAAGAUGAUACCACUCAUCAAAAUGUGGUAAGUUUCCUAUCUUUUGACAAUUUUUUGGAGCAAAUAUUUGAUAACCGUAUUCCUUUUCUUUGGUUUAUAAUAUUAAGGAAAACUUUUGAUUUCAUAGGUUAGGAUACUCAUAUGUAAAGAUUGAACAAGCUUGCAACUUUCCAUAGAAAGGCUCUUCAGCAUGCUUUACUUUGUUCGUUUGUUCAUUUGUUUCAGUUCAUUUUAUUUAUUUUUCUGCUUCUAGAUUAAUCUUGAUUAUAAAAUUGAUUAGACGUCCCCUAAUUCUUUGUUGGGACAACUAAGAACUUCAAGUUUCUUUUUCUAAAUGGUGUCAUUUCUUAAUAUACACAUGAUAUGAACAUAUAUUUUAACAUCAUUUAAUCAAAAUUAGAAAUGUUCCUUAAAAUACACGCCUAGCUUUGGACACAGUAAUUCAUGGAAAUAAUUGUUUCAUUUGGAAGUUACAGCAGUUGAAAGAAUUUUCUACAGUACAUGUUCAAUUGUGCACUCAAAUUGGAUUAUUUUUGUGUAAGGAUUGCAUGGAAACAACUUGGAAUUAUGAGUCUAGAGCAGGCCAGGGAGCAGUAUAUCAGUUUUCCACAAUAAAGCAUUCCUGAUUGGAUUGCAGAAAAUCCUUGUGUAAGUAUAUAUGGUUAACAAUACUAUUUUAAUUUGUUACCCUUUCCUAAAUUAAAAUAAGAUAUAUAUUUUAUUUGGUCUCGGUUGUAUAAUUGAUUUUUUCUUUUGACUAAUAGUCUAAUACCAUGUAACCUAACUCGUUUGUAUAAAUUAGGUUUUUGUUCUUUUGUAAUCUAAUGGUUUUGAUAUUACCACGUUAAUUUAUACAGUAGUUCUUUUUAUGCUAGUAACAAUCACUGAAAUUGGUUUGUAAUGUAAGCAGUGGAAAACUUUUUUUAAGUGGCCAGACAAAUUGCCGCUACAAGUACUUGACUUUUGCUGCCAAAUAAAAGAGGUUCUUACCAGCACUUGUAAAAAUGUCGGCAAUAGCUUUACUGAUCCUGGAUACGCCAGCCUUAACUCGAUUGUCGGUAAAUAUAUUAAUGGCUAUUUUACUGCCGCUAAAGGGAAAAUAAUUGCCAUUAAAAGUAACUUUUAGUGUAGUAAUUAUUUACUGCCAGAUACUGGUGAUACACAAAAAUUAAUUCUUAAUUAGAUCUUUAGGUGUCAAGAUUCUGGUGCAAAAUCCUUGUUUUACUCGUAGUUAAAAGUACCCAGACAGCCUAGCCAAAACAUAUUUUUAAAGGAUCAGACCCAAUUUCCUUAACUGUCUCGAGACUGAGAGCUUCUGUAAUAUUGAAGUGUUUCACAUAUGCUACAUACGGAAAAUGGAUCAUCAAGAGAGAGAUGGAAGCUUAUAGAACACAAGAUUGCUUCAAAACCUAAAUGUUUGAAACCAUGUCAUUCAUCAUGUCACAAUACAAAAAAAGUAAGUGGGGAAAUUUUCAAAACUCUAACAACUUCCUAAUCAUCACAAAAUAUACUCUUUUGGAUCUCAAAAUGUGUUAUGAGCUAUCUUUGCAAGCUAACUCUUCAAGAUAACAUGGUUAUGACUUAUCUUUUACAACCUGAAUUUUGGAGAACCCGUAGUUUUUUAGAAAAUCCAUAGCAGUGUUUGAACCAUUGGGAUUUUUAAAUUUACCUUGUUAAUAAUGAGUUCCCUGCACUGGUGUUGCAGUCGUGAUCCAAUGGUGUAAAUAUUUCUAUUAUGUUUAUUAAAUUUUUAAUGAUAAAAUAUUAAGCCAAGGGUGCAUAUUUUGUGCAGUUGCAAGGAUUCCACUUCCCUCUUAUAGCGUGUGAACGAUGCUGUUAAUUAAUCUUGCAAUCCUUACAACGCAUUGAAUCCACUCACCCACGUGAAGACAUUGUCAUAAACAUAUGUGAAACUCAUUGAACUUCGAAAAAACGUGAGCCACAUUAACCAAGAUCAGGACCAUAGACACAUGGUCCCACACAUGCUGAAAAAACGUUAUAUAGAUCAGGUAAAUGGCAGAAGUUAGGUGUUUCUCACUUUGUCCUUAGCUAAAUCACAAAAUUCAGAAAUUUCUCUAGCAAAUAAAUUUCAUUAGUUAAAAAUUAAAAAAGACUUAAAUACAUUUUUUUCAUUCCAUAAAAAAAUCAUUUUCAUACUUACAAAAUAUGUUUGUUUUAUUUUUCGUCCUUAAAAUAUUUUAGAUAAUAUUUUUUAACGUUCAAAGCGUUAUUUAAAAAUGAAAAACAAAAAACACAUUUUAGAAGGACAAAAAUGAAAAAAAAAUGUAGGAAUGAAAGAAAAACACUAAAUUACAAAGACAAAAUGUGUUUAAACACAUGCUUUCCGGCUUAAGGUGUUGUCUUUUUUUAUAGCUAACUUGAGUUAUAAGAAAAUAAGAAAUGAAUUCUAUGCUUGAUAUUAACAAUCGAAGUAGAAUAUUAGCGACAACUAGGAGCAAGGAUGCUGUAGACUCUUGUAUGAAUUCUACUUUUGAUAAGGUGCAUGAGCUGGAACCUUUAACUUUUGAAAAAUCUAUGGACUCUUUUGCAAGAAGGCAUUCCGUCGUCACAACAAUGGACGUUGUCCAGAAGACCUCAUGAAUAUAUCUUCUGAUUUUGUUGAAAAAUGUAAGGGUUUAUCUCUAGCAAUUGCAGCUAUUGGUAGUCUUUUAUCUUGCAAAGAAAUGACUCCAUUUGUAUGGGGGAAAACUUGGAAGAGUCUAAGUUCAGAGAUGGAAAAAACCCCAUUUAAUUGGUAUAAAAAAGAUUUUAUGUUUUAGUUAUGAUGAAUUGUCAUACUAUCUUAAGUCAUGCUUAUUGUAUUUUGGAAUAUAUAUAUAUAUAUAUAUAUAUAUAUAUAUAUAUAUAUAUAUAUAUAUAUAUAUAUAUAUAUAUAUAUAUAUAUAUAUAUAUAUAUAUAUAUAUAUAUAUAUAUAUAUAUAUAUAUAUAUAUAUAUAUAUAUAUAUAUAUAUAUAUAUAUAUAUAUAUAUAUAUAUAUAUAUAUAUAUAUAUAUAUAAAUGAAGACCAUGAAGUUAAAUCAGGAAGACUAAUUCGACAGUGGAUAACUGAAGGAUUUGUAAAAGCUGAAGAAGGAAAAACUUUGGAGAAAGUUGUACAACAAUAUUUAACAGAGUUGUUUGGUAGAAGUUUAGUGCAAGUGUCUUCAUUUAUUGUAGAUGGCAAAGCUAGGCAUUGUCAUUUUCAUGACUUAUUACGUGAGAUGAUCCUUGGAAAAUUCAAGGAUUUAAGCUUCUGCCAGCAUAUUAAUAAAGAAGAUGAGUCAAUCUCAAGUGGGAUGAUUCGACGCUUAUCAAUAGCAAGCUAUUCAAAUUAUUUAAUGGGGAAUACUAAAAGCUCACACACUAGGUCGCUACUUGUUUUUGCAGAUAAAGAAUCAGAAUUAACCAAUGAAUUUGUGCAAAGAAUCCCUAGAAAAUACAGGCUAUUGAAGGUACUUGAUUUUGAAUAUUGUCAAUUGAAUUCUGUUGCUGAAAAUUGGGGAAAUCUAGGACACUUAAAGUAUUUAUGCUUAAAGCUUUCAGACUGAUCUAGUUGUUCAUAGUCUUCCGAAAUUAAUUUGUAAACUCCAGAACCUCGAGACCCUAGACAUCAGACUUGAAUCUUGUAGCAUGUUGUUAUUGCCACAGGAGUUUUGCCAGCUUACAAAACUAAGACAUCUUUUGGGUUGUUUUAUUUUGAUGAUUCCUUCUAUUAGUCUUGGAGGUAAGAAGUCCCUACAAAGGCUGCAUCAUCUAUAUCACUUUGAUUGUGAAACAAUUCCGAAAGAUGUUAUAGUAAUAAGAAAACUUGGAAAACUGAAGCAAUUAAGGAAUUUAAGCUUGCUUAAUGUCAAGGAAGGACUGGGAAGCACUCUAUAUGUUCAUCAAUAAAUGAGAUGGAAAACUUGGAGAAACUAUAUAUUGAAUGAACAGAAGAUGAAGGCAUCGAUUUGCCCAUUAUUUCAUCAUUGCCUAUGUUGCAAAAGCUUGGGCUAUCUGGGAAGUUAAAUAAGGUUCCAGAGUGGGUUCCUCAACUCCAAAAUCUUGUAAAAUUGUCUUUGAUAUGUUCCCACUUAACUGAUGAUCCAUUGACAUCUUUAUGAAGUUUAAAGCUUGGGUUGAAACUCAAAGUGGAUGCAAGAGUGAUCAGGUUCGAUAAUGGAACUGAAUAUACCUCUAAAAAAUUUAACAAGUUUUGUAUAGAUGCAGGCAUUGAACAUCAAUUGAUAGCACCAUACACUCCACAACAGAAUGGUGUUGUGGAGAGGAAAAACCGAACAAUUAUGGAGAUGACAAGGUGCUUACUUCAUGACAAAGGGUUGCCAAAGGAAUUUUGGGCAGAGGCUGCACACACAACAGCUUUUUUGCUGAAUAGGUUGCCAACAAAAGCUUUGCAAAAAAAGACUCCAUUUGAAGAAUGGCACGACUACAAACCAAAGCUAACAAAUCUGAAGACAUUUGACUACCUAUGUUUCUCUUACAUACCUCAAGUAAAGAGAGACAAACUUGACAAGAAAGCAGAAUCUAGAAUUUUUGUAGGUUAUAGCUCAACUUCAAAGGCCUACAAAAUCUACCUACCACAAAGCAACAAAGUAAUUGUCAGCAGAGAUGUCAAAUUUCUGGAGUCAGAUAGUUGGAACUGGAAAAAUGAUAAGAAGUUUGAGUUUCAGGAGGAGAAUGAAGAUGUUGAAGAACCCAUUAGAGGAACCAGAUCCCUUUUAGACAUCUACCAAAGGUGUAAUGUUGUUGUGAUGGAGCCUGAGGGAUAUGAAGAAGCUAUAGUUGAUCAUAAAUGGAUAAAUGCAAUGAAAGAGGAGCUUAUAAUGAUUGAAAAAAUAAAACAUGGGAGCUGGUGGACAGACCUCACCACAAGAAAGCGAUUGGUGUCAAGUGGGUUUAUAGAACCAAGCUCAAUCCGGAUGGUUCUGUAAACAAAUACAAGGCAAGGCUUAUUGUUAAAGGAUAUGCUCAAGUGUUUAGUGUUGAUUUUUCAUAGGCAUUUGCCCCAGUUGUCAGGCUAGAAACCAUAAGAAUGUUGAUGUCUCUUGCUGCACAAAAGGGAUGGAUUAUACAUCAAAUGGAUGUGAAAUCAGCCUUCUUAAAUGGAUACUUGGAGGAAGAAAUUUUCGUUGAGCAACCUGAAGGGUUUGUUGUUCAAGGGCAAGAGGAGAAAGUAUAUCGAUUAAGGAAAGAUUUGCAUGGUUUAAAACAGGCACCGCGGUCAUGGUAUAACAGAAUUGAUGCACACUUGGUGAACUUAGGCUUCAAAAAAAGUUUAAGUGAAUCUACUUUAUAUGUGAAGAAGACUGUGACACCCUCUACCCCUCACAUAUAUAUUAAUAAAGGAAUAAAAAUUCAAAUAUUAAUUAAAAGUAUUUUUAAAACAUUUUUAAAUACAAGCCUUUCAAAUGGGUAAAAGGCUCACAUUCACUUUCUUCUACAUCAUAUUCAAACUUGUCCAAAUAAAUAAUAAAGUCAUCUCGGCUCAAAGAAAACCAUCUAAGUUUCAUACAAUUAAUAUAGAACCAAUAUCCUAAUGUCACAUUCUAUCAGAGCGUGGUGUUCCUGUGUCCUCUAGCAUGAGUUUCUUCAUAGUCAUCCACCUAUUCAUCUGCUCCCCCGAACACAAAGUUCAAGAUCAUCACAGGAUCCAAACACAAACAGCAAACCGGGAGUGAGUUAUCACAUUUCUAACUACUAGAGAGAAACAACACAACAUAUAGUAGCCAAAUACAAUUUACUUAGCAUAUCUCACACUAUUUCAUCACUUUGUCAUUCAUCAAUCACACUUUUCAAUCAUCAAUCACAAUACACAGGAAUCACACACUCCGAUCAAGACAUAAUAACACAUCAAUUUCAUAAUAAACAAUUAGCAAGCGUAUGCAACAGUUAUGCUAAGACUCAAGCCUAUAUGCAAUGUGGUACCAUGUCAGUGAAAAACCUCGUCGGCCGCCUAGGAGUACAUGACAAGACAAACCACACAAUAGUAAGUCAAGUCACUCUCACUAGGUAAUAUCAUAGGGAGACCAGUCAGGGUCACAGUGUUUUGCGAGAAUGCUCCAACCAUAUGGCAUCAACAUAGGCUUAAAGGAACACUCAAACCGUGUGACCCCCAAGGCCUACACUCCGAAGAGUCCGUCAAGGCCUCUCCCUCCUGAUUCAGGUCCAACCCAGAAAACAUUUUAGCACACAGAUUCUAUCUAUGAACUGUACAAAACACACGACUCCUCAAUUGUUCUUAAAAUAAUUUAACUCGUCGCCCUUAAAGGGACUUAACAUUAACUCGUCGCCUAAAAAGGGACUUAGCAUCAACUCGUCGCCCUAAAAGGGACUUAACAUCAACUCGUUGCCCUAAAAGGGACUUAGCAUUAACUUGUCGCCCUUGAAGGGACUUAUGAUCGUGUGAUUGUACAAUUCAUAGUUCACAACUCAAUGCACAUAUAUAUCUCAAUCAUAUACAUACUCAAUUUAUCACAUACACUUAAUCCCAAUCACAAUGGUAUAAUCUCAAUUUAACAUGUUAUCACACCUCAUGAAUCAUAUACACUUUACCUAUGAACUAUGCAAUACACAUAUCUACUCAAUUGUUUUCAAAAUCAUUUUAACUCGUCGGGUUCCCACAGAUCCCAUCACAAUACUCAUCGCCCUUAAAGGGUCUUACAAUUGUGUGAUUGCACAGUUCAUAGUUUACAACUCAAUACACACAUCUCAUCUCAAUACACAUGUAUUUCAUCAUCUGUCACAUGUUCAAUUUACCACAUACUCACAGUUUGAAUCAUCAUUUCAUAACCUCAACAUAACAAUUUAUAUAAAAGAUUUUAUCACAACAUAGAAUGUAAAACCUCUGAAAUAGUUCCUCACAAUUGUAUCAAAAUCAUGGGUUAACACAAAGAUAUCAAGAGCACUCAAGUUUAUCAAUCAAUUCUCAUCAGGACAUCAAUUGGUACAUAGAACACAAUAAUAUUGUAUUCAUAAUCAUAAAGAAAAAUAAUAAUUCAAUAAACAUCCCAAAAUAAACUCAAAUUUAGUUCUCUAAGGAUCCCUACACAUGUACUGUCUUCAUGCGAUUCCUUUUUCUCUCUUCACAAAUGUUAUCUCGAAAAUCCCAACGGUGGAAGUGUGAGAAAUUUAAUUUUGAACAACAUAUCCAAAUUUCAUGAAAAUCCAACGGUUAACGAAACCGGGAUCAUAGUUUUACCGAGACAGUUUUGGGUUUUUGCGGGAAAAUAAAAGGCUACAAUGCGAAGGGUUUUUCUUUAAGCUCAGACAUAAUAUCAAAAUUCCCAACGGUGAGAAUUCUCGGAAUUUGGUUGUGAACCUGGUGCUCAAAUUUCACGACGAUCCAACGGUGAAUGAGCCUGAGAUCGUCCUUUUUGUAAGACAGGUUUGGUGGGCUGCGGAAAAAAGAAAGGGUUUUGAGAGGAGAAGGAGAAAAACGAAAAUGAGGCCAAAAAGAGACACCUGACUUAACAUAACUAUUUAUACCUAGGGUAGUCAACCUAUUAUUUGCUCUAUAUUUAUUUAUUUAUUUAUUUUAUAAAAACAAACUCUAUUUUAUUUUCUAUCAAACAAAUAAAUGAAAUACCCUUUUUAUUUUCUCUCAAAUCAUUAUUUUAAUUAAUAAUUAUAUCCCUUAUUUAUUUAUUUAUAAAAUCUCAUCAUUUUUCUAAAACUUUAUUUAUUUAUAAAUAACAAUCCUUUUUAAUCUAGAUUACAAAAAUUGGGAUGUUACAAAGACUGAUGGUGAAAUACUUGUAGUAUCUCUAUAUGUUGAUGAUUUACUGGUUUUGGGAAGCAACGAGGAGUAUAUUGAUAAGUUCAAGGAAGAAAUGAAAGAUACUUUUGAAAUGACAGACCUUGGAAGGAUGACAUUCUCUCUUGGUAUGCAGGUGUAUAAAAAAAAUGAAAUAUUUCUUUGCCAGGAAAAAUAUACAAAUGAAGUUCUCAAGAAGUUCAACAUGGAGGGGUACAAACCAGCUGCAACUCCAAUGAAUCAAAAGGAGAAGUUUUGCAAAGAAGACGGAGCUACAAAAGUGGAUGAAAAACUGUAUAGGAGCCUUAUAGGCUGCCUAAUGUAUUUAAGUGCAUCAAGGCUUGACAUCUUGCAUGCAAUAAGCUUGUUAUCAAGGUACAUGAACUGUGCUAGUAGAAUUCAUUUUCAGGCAGCGAAAAGAGUUCUUACAUAUGUUAAGGGCACAAUUGAUUUUGGAAUAAGAUACCAUUAUGUUAAAAACUUCAGACUUUUUGGUUAUUCUGAUAGUGAUUGGGCUGGAUGUGCUGUUGAUAUAAGAAGUACUUUAGGUUAUCUUUUUAGCUUUGGUUUUGGAAUUUUUUUUCAUGGCAAUCAAAGAAACAAUACGUUAUAGCUCAAUCCACAACAGAAGCAGAAUAUGUAGUUGCAACUGCUGCUGUAAAUCAAGCUCUGGAUCAUAAAGCUUAUGACAAAUUUGCAUAUGGAACAACAAGAUAAUACGCAGAUAUUUGUGGAUAAUCAAGUUGUAAUUUUAAUUUCAAAUAACCCAGUUUUUUAUGGCAAAACAAAACACUUCAAGAUAAAGCUCUAUUUUCUCAGGGACACAAAAGGAAGGAGAAGUGAAAUUAAUUUACUGCACAACAAAAGAACAAAGUGUUGAUAUCCUAACAAAGGUGCUUCCUAAAGCUAGAUAUGAAUUCUUGAGACAGAGGCUUGGUGUAUGCUGUUCCAGAGUCAAGGAGGAGUGUUGACUGUUUGAUUCUUGAAACAGAUUUUCUAAGUUGUUGCUAUUUUGUAGGACCAUUACCAUCUGUUAUGCUAUACAUGCACUAGUUUAUUUAUUUUUUUAGUUUAUCUUCUAUUUUCUAGGCAACUAUCCCGUAGGAGUUUUAUAUAUAUUUUUUAGUAUCUCUUUGUAAAAUGCAAUCUGCUUUUGAGAUCAAUAAAGAAAGUCUUAUGCAGUUACAAAAUAUUUCCUAACUUCCUUUUAUCGUUACUCUUCGUACCUUUCUAAAAACAACAUUCAUAGUCUUCCGAAAUUAAUUUGUAAACUCCAGAACCUCGAGACCCUAGACAUCAGACUUGAACCUUGUAGCAUGUUGUUAUUGCCACAGGAGUUUUGCCAGCUUACAAAGCUAAGAUAUCUUUUGGGUUGUUUUAUUUUGAUGAUUCCUUCUAUUAGUCUUGGAGGUAUGACGUCCCUACAAAGGCUGCCUCAUCUAUAUCACUUUGAUUGUGAAACAAUUCCGGAAGAUGUUAUAGUAGAGUUAAUCAGAGAACUCUAUGUUCAUCAAUAAAUGAGAUGCGAAACUUGGAGAAACUAUAUAUUGAGUGAACAGAAGAUGAAGUAAUUGAUUUGCCCAUUAUUUCAUCACUGCCUAUGUUGCAAAAGCUUGGGCUAUCUGGGCAGUUAAAUAAGGUUCCAGAGUGGGUUCCUCAACUCCAAAAUCUUGUAAAAUUGUCUUUGAUAUGUUCCCACUUAACUGAUGAUCCAUUGAAAUCUCUACAAAAUAUGCCACAUUUGUUGUUCCUCUACAUGAGCAAGAAUUCUUAUGAAGGUGAAAAUUUGUAUUUUCAAGAUGGAGGGUUUCAGCGACUAAAGAAACUAUAUCUCAAAUAUUUAUAUAACUUGAAUUCCAUCAUUAUUGAGAAAGGAGCACUGCGUUCUUUGGAAACACUUCAGCUUUUGAAGUAGAGGAUAUGCCAUAUGAAUUCGUGCAAUGCAUUGCUCCCAUUGGAGGUCCAUUAGUACACCCAAGCAUCCAGCAUGUGUGUCCCUUAUAAAAAUUUCUUCCUUCACAAGUGAAACACACUCUUUAUUCAUGACUAGGUAUGCCUUUUCUUCCUAAUAUUUGUGAAAUGGGAUUCAAAAGUGUCUCCUUGAUUCAAAAGUGCACUUAUGCUUAUGUUUAAUUAAAAUUAUAUUAAAAGGAUAAGUAAAAGAUAUAUAUAGCUCGUUUGAUUACCUAAAAUGAUACUUAGUAUUGUUUACCAUUUAGUCAACAAGAAAUUAAUGUAAUUUUUAUUUAAUUUCUAAACUAAUAUUUACACUUUGAGUUUUUUUAUUUCUUGUCAUAUGCUUUAUUUAUUUUAUGUUCAUAUUACAUCACUUAUUAGAAAUUAAGGAUAAAAUAAAUUGUCUAAUCAGUUACUAGAAAUUCUAUAUAAUUGUUCUAUUCCCUCUAUAGCUAUUUUAGUUACAAUUUUUUUACUAUCAAAAGUCUGGCCAUUUUAAUGCUUUUUACUAAUAUUGUGCUUUGAAUUGGCAUAGGGAUUGCUCUUCUAGCGUUUUGAAGUUGAAAUUCUUCAUGUUGUGCUCCAACAAUGGCGUUGUAUCUUCUUUGUUCAGAAUUGGCUCUUUGGUCCCUGCAUAAAAAGAAUAUGAGGAAUUGUCUUUCUUUAGCAAUGUCAUUUUGAGUUCAUGAUCAUCUUUAAAAAACAAGUCAUUUGAGUUUACGACAGUGUAUGAUGUAUAAUAAUGUAUGAAAGAUGUUAUAGCAGUGUCUUUCAAGGAUUGUGAGGUCUCAUUUUCUAUUUGGGAAUAAAGGAAAAGAAGUUCAUGUAAUUUCAUUGUUUAAUUGUAAAGUUUCUUAUUUUAUUUUAAUGCUUCUAUUAAAUUUUCCUCUGCCAGCUCUUUCUAUUGUGGACAUUUAUUAAUAAACCACCCAUUAAAAAAGUUUACAGCAAGAAGAGGAGUGGUAAUAAAAUAUUAGAGUCACGUGGAAUUAUUAAUAAUAAGAUUAAUUUUAAAAAAAUAUUAUUCUUUUUAAUGUAUUUAUUAUUUUUUUAUCUGUAAAAAAAUCUUGGUUCUCAACCAUUUUUAUGAUUUUGAGAACGGGCAUAAAGAAGAAUGGCACUGCUUAUGCCAAAUUAUUGAGAAGUUCAAAUUUGUAAAUAACAUGUAUAUAACAAAAGUGAUUCAUGCAGUUGGAAAGUACAUCAUUCACAAAAGAGGACAAUAGGUUAAUAUUAUGAAUGACUUCUAAAAGCACACACUCAAGAUAAGCACAACACAAUUAACAGAAAUGUCCUCGUAAAUUUUUCAACCGUAUCAAUGUAUCAUAUAUUGUUAUUCAAUUAAAUCUGUUUAAUCAAGCAGGCUACCACCAUUAUACAUUAGAUCACCUAAAAUUUGCACCGCACGUCAUAGACUACAAUUCCAAAAACAAAAACAGUGAAACACUAUAUGUUCCAAAAAGAGUAUAUGGUGUCUAACAGUACUUCUCACUAUGUUACAUAACAAAAUGAUAUCGUUGAUGAUAACUUCUCAACUUAACACAAUUCAGAAGAUAGAAAAAGAGGCAGUUCUAUCCAAAGAUAAAGGGUUUCAUCUUGAAAGGAAGCCUCAAAAAAUAAAAAAAUAAACUUGUCAUUUCGAUUUGGGCUAAAAUAUGUUUAAGGUCCAUAAUAAGUUAACCAAUCUUGUUUUGGGUCUUUAAUAAAAAUAAUUAUGCUGAAUCCCUAAUAAAGAAAAUAAUUUUUAGUUGCUGAUAAAUUAAUAAAUUUUAUUUUUGAUCUCUAAUAAAUUUUGUUCAUUUCGUAGUGGUCCCUAUCAAAUAUUCCUCAUGUAUAAUAUGUUUACCAAUCAAUCUCUUGCAAUCCUUUUCCCUUUUAUUUAUUUUUUCUUUCAAAAUAUCAAGGCCAAACAAUCCAUCAUAAAAAGGGUCCUUGUAUGUACAAGUAGAAAAGAUUGGAUUAGUAGUAUCAGUUCAAAAUAAAGGACAGUGCUCAAGUCCACAAUGCUUAUAAUGGAAGCAGCUCCUUAAGUUAAAUGCAGUUUCAAAUAUUUUAGGGAAAUAAAGUUGCACCCUUGUCCAUCAGCUUAAUGGCCUGAUUCUACAAGAGAAAAAUAAUAAAAUUUCCAAUCUUCACCAAUAACAGUUAAUACUUGAUACUAAUAAAUCUCUCAGCACAUUGUGCUUAGAUAUCUUCAUUGAAGAAGCAUAGAAGCAUUAAAUUGACUUUGAUUACAAACAUUGUUAAAGUAAUCAUCCCUGUUUUCUGGUUAAGAUAAUAUAUAAGAUAUAUAAAACAUCAAGAGUACCAAUAGUUGACAAAAAGUUCAAAGCUGAAUGUAUCCACGACAUAACAGUAUGCACUAUAGUGACAAGUUUAAGUAGAGGAAGAUUAUUAAAUUGUAAGACAUCUUUACAGUAUUUAAUUAUAAAGAAUGGUCAUAGUAGCACAAUUAAUUUGUAAAUUGUAAUUUGAUUUGAUUUUAGAUGCAUAUUAUUGGUAUAAUUAGUACUAAUUAAUUCUUUUAAAUCAUCUUUAACUAUACAGUUCCAUACCUAUACAGUCUCUGAAUCUCUCUCAUUUUAGUAUGAUUCGAUCAGAGCAUUACACUUCCUCCCAAACAUUCUAUAUAAUGUAUGGUAGUUUGAAGUAUUGACAUUGCACAUGCCUAUCACAUGUGGGGAAGAGAACAAGAUAAAGCCCUUAAAGUAAGUUACCAAUACUUGUUGCUAUAAAAAUAAUUCAUCAGAAUUAUGCCCGGCCUACAAGACAUAGGUAUCUUUCUUUUAAUGUGUUUUGUGAUUUCAACGAAAAUAAACAAACCAAGCUAUUGAAAUUGGAAGUCACCAGUAAAGGGAUUUAUAUAGUAGUUUAAAUAAUCAGCAUUGGAGCAUCCUAUAAAUUUGACCUCUACCCAAAACAAUAAAACUCAAAAUAUUCGCACAAAAUAUGAAAGAAGGCUAAACUCAAGCUUCAAUUUAGUAUUGAAAUAAAAAAAAGUUGGAACUUAGAACCAUAUCCAUAAAAACAUUCAAAGACUACAAUACAUUUGAAGGAUUGAUCACACCUCUGUAAACAUCUGGUAAGAAAGGCAAAACAUUCUGAAAAUUGACGACAAAUUUCUCCAAAAACUUUUCCUCGGUUAUGCAAAUAAUGGAACUAAUGUACAUGUUAGCACACCUUUUGAUUUCAAGAUUUUGAUUACUGAGAAUCUAGGGAUAAUUCUCUUCUCCAAGCUGUACGCUACAACUUGAGGAUAUUCAGCAAUAGCUUCUGAUGGCCAACCCAUAUCCUUCACCAGGAAACUCAUUUUCUUGGUAAAAGUCUCCCCUGAAAAUAUCAUAAAACCAGGAAACUUUCUAAAUGCUCGAAGAGACAUUUCAUGGUUCCAGCCCCACCUCUGGUAAACCUCAAACCUUGAAUCCCAGACUGAUUUCCUCAUAGUUACAAGCACAGAAAUAGCCACGACAAAAUUAUUUUUCAAAGGACUAAACCCAAUUUCCUUAACUGUUUUGACUGCUUCCACAAAUCUGGAAUGCUUCACAUACGCUGCAGACAGAGCAAUGGUUAUUAGUAAUGAUAUGGAUGCCUGAGCCACACCACAUUGCUUCAAAAUUUUAAUGUUUGGAACCAAGGCAUUCACUAAGUCACCAUAUAUAAAACCAAGAGGGGAAUUUCUCAAAGCUCUAACAACUUCCCGAUCAUCACAAAGUACACUCUUUAGGAUCUCAUAACGUGGGAUGAGGCAUUUUUCCAAGUUCCUCUUCAAGAUAGAACUAUUAGCAAUCAGGAUUUUAGGCAUGCCAGCGUCGGAGACCCCAAUAAAACGAAAGAACUUGAGUUUAGGCAAAAGGGUAUUCUCUGCAUCUGCAACAAGCACUAAAGGAUGUCUCCCAACAAGUUUUGCAAGUUUUGUUUUGCAGAACCCAUAAUUCUUGAGAAGAUCAAGAACAGCAUUUGGGCCAUCAGGGUUUUUCAAAUUGACCCUGUUGGAGAGUUCCCUUGCCAGUUUUGGGGACACCCCACAUGAGUUAAUGAGGUAAGACACAGUAAAGGUGCCACUUUUAUGGUGGUUUCCAUCUGAUUCAGAAUCAAAAGAGGUUCCUGAAGUGAAUGAAUUGAAGAAAAAAAGUGAAGCAGAGUGUUUGUGUUGCAACAGAGAAUCCAAUGGAAUAUGGGUGCUCUAGUAGCGUGUGAAUGAUGAUGAUGCAGACAGCCUUGCAAUGAGAAGAAAAUUAGACACCAUUUACUCGCUCACAGAAUUUAAUGUAGUGAGAUUUGAUUAAGAGCAAUGAGAGUAACCUCUUGGCAAGACAGAGAACUGGCUUUCGGAGCAUCCGUAGGUUUUCAGAAGACUAAGGACAGCAUUUGAUGUAUCUGAUGAUUGAUGAAUCUCUUUGGAGCCAAAGCCGGUGUUUUUUCUUCUCCAUUCAUCCUACCAAACAAACCCUAAAGUGAAUGGGUUAAAGAAAAAGAGAGCAUUGGGCUAUGUAUGUUGCAGCAGAGAAAGAAAAUGGAUUUGGUGAAUGGAAAAGAUGAAGUUAAUUUUAGAAUGAGGAAUCUAUUCACCAUUUUCACUCACCAUUUUGCCUAAUCAAGUUUCACAUUUCAGACACUGCCUCAUCACCACCAUAUGCAGGGUAGGGAAGGACAGUUAGAAACAGAACUACAAUUUUAACCCUAGAAAUGUUGAGGGUAAUUGGGUAAAUAUGCUCUAUAUAUAAUUAUUUAACUAUAAAUAAAUAAAAACUUUAUUAUAUUUUUUAUGAAUUAAAUUUAUAUAAAAAUAACAUUUAAAUUUGAUUUAAAUUUAAAAUGUAGUAUUAUAAUUUAAACAAUAAAAAAAAUACUUAUUAGAAGUUAAAACAAAAUAUGAUAAAAUUUGAAUUUUUUUGUUACAUUUAAUUUGAAUGUAAAGAUAAUAAUUAAAAUCACUUAAUUUAAAUUUAAAAUAAAACUAAUUGCUAUAAUUUGAAAUAAAAUAAAUUAUAAUUAAUUUAAAUUUAAAGAUAAUAACAUACUCAUAUAAUAAUGAUUUAAGUUUAGACUAAUUGCAAAAUUAUCAAAUAAUAAGGGUGGGGAAAUAAUAUAAAAAGUAAACUAAUUUAGAAAGUGGUAGUCUUAAUGUCCAAAAUAAAUAUUUAAAUAUACAGUAUUGGAAUAGAUUAAUCAAGAAAAAAACUUACAUCAAAAUAAUUAUUAUGCAUAACUAUUUAUAUAUUUAAUUUGUAUGUACUCAAAGUGUAAAGAUUUUUUUAAAAUCAUAAAUCAGUCACAAAAUCUCACAUCUUUUAAAAGUUUGAAUUUUAUCCCAGCUAUCUUAAAAGUCACAAGUGUCAAAUUGUGAUUAAUGAAAAUGUAAAAAAACUUUAGACAAUGAAACAAUAGUUGGAGUAGAUGGAGUGAUGUGUGUAGAGUGGAAUUUGUCAAGGUGGUUCUCACAUAUUAGGGUGGGGAUUGGGGGUUGUUUGGAUGUGUGACCCCAAAAAAAAUCCCUCUUUUAUUAUUUAUUUUUUUUGUGUAAAGAUUGAGUAUGAAGGAAGAAAGUGCUGGGAAAGAAAGCACUCCCUCCAUCCAUACUAAACCCUCUCAACGCUUGAAUGAUGAUCCAACCUCAGAAGCUUGCCUGAGUUCUCUAUCAUAGUCAAGAUUGACUUAAUUUCAAGUUUAAAGGAUAAUUUUUUUAUAUAUAUUUAAUUUAGGUUUCUUAAUUGAAAUGUGUUUUAUAUGGCCUAAUUGACUAAUUGGAUGAGAGUCAUUGCUCUCAAGCUACUUCUAUCGCGAACAAUGAUGGAUAGCGUUCUAUCUAUUGUUUUGUUUUUAUCAAAAUACACUUAAGUUAAAGGAAGAAAGAACAAAGCUAAUUUUAUGUUCAGAGACACUCACAAUUUUUUUCUUUAUAUAUUCUAACAAUUUUUAUGCACUAGAAAUCAUUUUUAAAUUAAAUAAAUCAAAAAACAAAACUCUCACAAAAAAAAUGUCACAAAUCACAUCAAUGUUUAUCUCAUUAUAUGCUGAAUUAGCAUUGUCUUGAUAGAGGGACUAAAAAAACAUUUUUCAAAUUUAAAAGACAUCUCUUAACAGUAGUUGUUGAAUCAUCUGCUUUAGAGUCUGUAAUAAUACCAUAUCUAAUGGUUGGAAAUACCUCUCCUACCCGGGAGACCUAGCCUCCUUUCCCACGGGAAUUUAUCUUCUUAAAAAGUAGUUUCGACGUUCAACUGAUUGAUCAUGUUUCAAAUUUGACAAUUAACCAAAAUUGGAAACUGAACACUCAAAUUAUAUGAAUCCAAUGCUUUCGUAGUGCUUCUUCAUCUUAGACACAUGCAUACAUGAUACAUGGGGAAAAUAUCAUUAGGUAUUAAGCAUGUUUUUUACGAACUCAUGAAAUUUCUAUGUUCUACUGUUGCUAGCCAACACUAGUGAUGACUUUGGAAGAACGCUGAAUUGGUUUGAUACAUGUGUACUAAAAGAACAGAAAAAAUUAAAUCAAAGUCAUGAAUACAAAAUUAUUAUUAAUGAGAUCGCCUAACUGGUAUGCAUUAAUGGAGCCUCCCAUAAAGCAAAUUCUCUGCAUUAAUGAUAAUAUAACAUUCUUGUCCUGGUUUAUCUUCUCCACAUUUUAACCUCCAAAGCAAUUUGAACUUAUGAACCUCGAACAACAAAUGCAUUUUAUUUCCCAUUCUAAUUUUUCUUUGGCUAACCUGAAACAUGAUACAUGCUUGCACCAAUUCAAUUUACACAUACCCACCACUCCAUUUCUAGAUGCUAAAGAGAGUAUGUUACUACUUAAUAGGAUCCUCAUUAAUGAACAACAGAGCAAUCAAAAUAAGAAUUUCUAACUGAAUUCAUAUUAUCAAGCAUAAAUGUAUAUUGCUUUCAGUUCAGGCUUCCCUGUAGCUUCUCUCCUUUAUGGUACAAAAAUCACACUCAUAACAUUGUAAAUCAAUACAUGCACAAGAUGAUAGGGGGGAAAACACUGUACAAAUAUAGAUACUAAAAAUUGAAUAUUAACAACUGAAUAAAUCGUAAUUUACUUUUACUUUCACUUUCAUAUUUCUCAGAACACAUGAUAUGUUGAUAAUGGUAUAACAUUAGGUAGCAGUAAAAUUACCAAGCUUUGUGCCAACCUAAAUUGAGAAGUGGGCAAGAACAUAACAGCCAACUUGAGCAAAAAUAACUGAGGCAUACUUAAUGAAAGUACGUACUCUGUCCACUCUCGGAGGAAGGAAAUAUAGGAAACAAAUCAACAAACUUGAUAUUCAUAUAAUCUAUCAAUCAUAUUAGUGGAGCGGUACGCUUUGCUGUAAUUCAUGAAUAACUCACCCCUUUUCAAAGUGACAAACUCAUAUCUGAAGCAUUAAAUUGUGCUGCAUCCUUUGUGCUUCAUUGCUCAUUAUUCUGAGAUUUACGCAUCAAUAAUAAGUCAAUAUAUGUUUCCUUUUUCUUACUAAAAGCAUUCAGUCACAAUUUCUGAUCCAUAAGUAGUUGAACUAGUCUGCAAUUUUACCCACCAAUCCUCCUUUUUAACAGUAAACCUUAGAUAUGAAACAGAAAAUAUGUUACAUAUUUUGGCCUGUCACAAUCUCCAUAUUCGAUUGAUAUUGGAAGAGACAUGAAUAAUGUGAUUCUUCCUAUAGUUAUCUGAGGUGUUGAUGUUGUGAAUCUACAGGAAUCUUACAUUUGGGAUUUGUUAUUAGGCUAUGGAAAUAACAGUUUUAGAAAAUUUGGGGAAAAAAAUUAAGUUAAUCCUCGAUUAAAUAAAUUCAAUUAACUUUCAGCCGGAUGGAGUAUAUCGUGCAUGUCAGCGCAUGAACCUGUUGAACUAUAACAUAUUCAUAUACUCACCAUUCAUGAGUAGUGGCUGACCCUAAAAAUGCUGUAGCUGAGGAAAUGAAUGUAGGGCUGACAUGUGGAUUCCCUGACCUAAUGUUAUUCUGAUUUUAUUAAGAUAUAUAGUGAGUACUAACACAUCCCAAUGCUUAGUUCUCAAAUAAAAACAAAGCAGAAUGCCCACUUUCUACUGCCUCCUCCUAUUUAAGCUAAUUCCUACUUCUAAAACUGUAACCACCUAGCUAUUCUAACUAAUUAGUAACUACUCUCUGGCCCUGUCAGAUGCAUAAAAAUUACCAGUAACUGACAAAUGUUCAAAUCCAUAUAUAUAUCCAUGACUACAAAUAGCAGCAAGCAGAACAAGAUAGUGGCUAUUUUAAGUCGAAGGGGCUACAUCAUAACUUGUAAGACACCAUAAUAGCAUUCAUUUAUUAAAAAUUGAUAAGGUAAUGGUAGCACAACUAAACUCAAUAUGAUUCUACGGAAAUAAACUUUGGUUAUUGAUACCCUCCACAGUCCACAUGCUCUAACAAAUAACCAGGGGCUUCCGGCAAGACAUUCAAUUUAGUUCAUGGCAGUUUUUUAAGUGUAGACAUGUCUAUCACAUGCCACUUUUGGCUAAAAUGAAUGGCAAAAAGUAUGUGAUAACAGUACAGACUACUGAGCUGAAACAAAUUUUCAUAAUAUUUAAAACAAAAGAGCAAAAGGGCAACAAUCAAUCAAGAUAAAAUUAAUCAGAGUUACCCCUGGCCUACAAUAGAGCACACUUCUUUCAUGAGUUGUACGUCAACAAAAAAAAUAAUCCAAUUUGUUGAAUUGAAAAUCACCACUAAAUGGAUUAAUAUACUUGAUUAUAAAAUCAAUAUGCUAUAAAUCAGACCAAAAGUUUCUCCACCCAAGGAAAAUAAAACUCAAAACUACUGACACAAAAAGGAAAAACCAGCAAAAAUCAAAGUUCAAUUUAUCAAUGAAAGAGAAAAGCUGGAAGUUAGGGCAAUCACCAGCAAAAGCCUUCAAAGCCUAUAAUACAUUCUGUUGAUUUGCCAAACUGUUGUAGUAAUCUGGCAAGAAAGGCAAAUCUUUCUGAAAAUUGAUGACAAAUUUCUCCAAAAAAUUUGCCUCGGUUAUGCAAAUAAUGGCACUGAAGUGCAAAUUUUUCUUGAGCAGACCUUUUGAUUUCAACAUUUUGAUUAUCGAGAAUCUAGGGAUAAUCCUCUUCUCCAAGUUGUACGUUACAACUUGAGGAUAUUCAGCAAUAUCUUCUGAUGAACAACCCAUAUCCUUCACUAGGAAACUCAUUUUUUUUAUAAACACUUCCUCUGACAACUUCACAAUACUGGGAAACUUUCGAACUGCUCCAAGAGCUAUUUCGCGGUUCCAGCCACACCUCUCAUAAACCUCAAACCUUGAUUCCCAUACUGCUUUGCUCUUAUUGGCAAGAACUUCAACACCCACGACAAAAGUUCUUUUCAAAGGAUUAAACCCAAAUCCCUUAGCAGUGUUAACAGCUUCCACAAAUUUGGAAUGGUCCCUGUAGGCUAGAGUCCCAGAAUGCAUCAACAGGUAAGAUAUGGAACCUUGAGGCACGCCAGAUUCCCUCAAAACCCUAAUGUUUGGAACCAAGUGUGUCAUCAUGUCAACAUACGUAAAACCAAAUGGGGCAUUUUUCAAAGCUCUAACAACUUCCCCUUUGUCACGAAGUAAACUACUUAGAAUCUCAUACCGUGGAAUGAGGCAUUUGUCCAAGCUUCUAAACAACAUAUGAUGGCUAGCAAUUAGGAUUUUAGGCAUGUCAGCGUUGGAAAUCCCAAUAGAACGGAAGAACUUGAGUUUCGGCAAAAGGGUAUUCUCUGCAUUUGCAGCAAUGACGGAGGGCUUUAUCUCCGCAAGUUUUGCAAGAUGGGUUUUUUCAAACCCAUAUUUGUUGAGAAGAUUAAUAACAGCAUUUGGGCCAUCUGGGUUUUUCAAAUUGACCCUAUUGGAGAGUUCACUGGCUAGUUUUGGGGACAAUCCCCAUGAGUUGAUGAGGUAAGACACAGUAAAGGUGUCACCUUUGUGGUGGUUUUCAUCGUCUGAUUCAGCAUCAGAAGAGAUUCCUGAAGUGAAGGAAUUGAAGAAAAAAAAUGAUGCAUUGUGUUUGUGUUGCAGAAGAGAACCCAAUUGGAUCGGGUUACUUCUGUGGUGUGUGAAUGAUGUAGUUAAUCUUGCAAUGAGAAGAAAAUUACGCACCAUUUACUCACUCAGAAAUUGAAGUGAAUGUUGUUGAUGAUGUGAUGAAGGGGCAAUGCAAUGCACAACACAGUAAGCUAAUGACACGGAGACCAGUAAGUGGGCUUUAGCGCAGCGCAAGGACAUCAUUUUCAAGGUAGCUAGGUUUUUUCUCUCAAACUAUUGGCUUUUGUUUUUAUUUUUUAUUUUUUAUUUUAACAAGAGUGGUGCAAUUUUUCUAAUUAAUUAUCAAAAUGGAUGGAUUUUGAAAACAUACAAAAAUGAAUAAGUCGUCUUUUUAAAAGAAAAAUCGUGUUUCAGUAUAUUCUUUCAAAAUACAACUUGUCUAUAUUUGUAAUUUUUUAAAAUAUAUUUAUGUCAGUAAUUAAUUAAAAAAUUACACUACUCAUGAUAAAAAGCCCAAUUUUUUCUUCUCUAGCGUAUAACAUUUGCACAGAAAAUAUAUUUACCUAGUUGAGAGGAAGGAAAUAAAGAAGGCUAAAAAAUCAUUGUAAUUCCUCAAGGUAUAUAUAAAUUGAUGAUAAUUUAAUUCUUAAAAUUGAAAGACAAAAUUUUUAAUUUAAUCUCUAACCAUAUAGAAAAAUACAACAAUUAUAUUCUACGGAUAAAUUAAUCCAUGAAUUUUAUAAUUUAAUAUCAAAUUAUUUUUCAAUUAAUUCAUGAAUUUUAUAAUUGAAUAUCAAAUUAUUUUUCAAAAAUAUAACUUGUUAUUAAAUAAGUUCUUAAUAAUCAAACUUGAUGCCAAAAUGAUACUUGUGCACAAUAUAGAAUUUUAAUAUUGGAUGUUAAAAUGAUUAAAUAUAUUAUAUUAUAUUUAAUAUUACACUUAAAUUUAAAUGUUUUUGUAAUUUUGAAAUAUAAAAUUAUAAAAUAAUUUAAUUACUUUACAAACAUACAUAAAUGAUUAUUUUCAUAAUAUUUUAAUUUUACAAGCAAUACUUUUGAAUAAAUUAAAGUAUAGAAAAUAAUAAAUUAAAAAAAUUAUUGACUCAAAUAUUAGUUAAAAUAUAUCAUUUAAAACAACCUAUUACUUUUUUAUUUUUUUCAAAUAAUUGAGUUAGAUAGUACGUAGCAUUUAAAUAACUCAUAAUGCAUACAUAGAUUAAAAUACUUAUUACAUAUAAAUGCUAUAUAAAAAUAUAAUACAUGAUUUAAAAUAAUAGUAAUAAUAAUAAUAACACUCAAGUUAAAAUUUAUAAUAAUGAUAUUUAAAUUAACAGUAAAAUUAUACAAUUUAAAGAAAAUAAUAAUAUCAUAUAAUAUAUGUAGUUAUAGUGGUACAUGAACUUAAUAAUUUUAUUUUUAAGUUUAUAAAGAUUUAUAUAAAAUAAAUAUUUUCAUUUACUUUAAUCAUUAAAAUAUUAUAAAUUUGACUAAAUAAUAUUUUAUUUAGCCCAAGAAAUUAGUCGACGAGAACAAGACAUUAUCAUAUUUGAAAAGUUAUUGGUUCAAAUUUUCACUCACCUCAUUAAAGUGAUGUAAACUUAAAUACUUUGUAAGUGUUAUUUGAGUCUAGACUCUCUUUGCCUUGAAUUAUGAAUAUCAUUUUUUUCCUUAAAUCAAUAAAUAAUCAAUAACCAAUAAUAUAAACAAUAUGAGAACCUACAUAUUACAAAAUUUUACACGUGUCAACUUCUAAUCAAUCAAACAAAAUACGACAAAUUUGAAUACAACAAGUUUAAAUUUUAACUAAAAGAGGUUAUUAAACCAAAAACGAAUACCAAAAAAAAUAAAAAAUCAAAAACACUCUAAGGUGUUCGUACAAGAAGUGGAGGUUCACAUGAAGUCUACCUCGUGGCAAGGGACAAUAAAAGUUUGCUUAAGUUGGCAACAAAUUCAAAAUCAGAUUUGUGUGUUCAGCAAAAGGUAGCAAAAUAAAAGUAACACACAACUAUCCUACUCUCAUCCACCGUACAAACCAACGAAAGACUACACCCAUCUAGGAAUGCAAAAGCUGUUUCAUAUAUCAACAAUGUAGUCUUUCAGAAACAUCAAAAUGGAAAUUGAUCACCAAAGCAACAUACAAGAGUUUUGCAGUUUAACAAAAAUGCGUUUGAAUAAGGUAAGCAUAGGUUUCUAGCUUUCAAAUUGUGAAUUUUAAAUUCCAAGUGACUUUCAUUAUGGGAAAUUAUUUUAGGGUCCUGACAGGUUGAAGACCUUUGCCUAAACAAUCUGCAAAGCCAAGCUGCAAUGAUCCUCUGAGUUUAACUACGGAACAAAACCAUGCAAAAAUAAGGGAUGGAGACUCUAUCAUGUAUCAGAGAAGAAUGCUGAGGGAAAAAGACACUUCCAUUGCUGUAUCUAACAGUAGAAUGUAGACAGAAACAAUACUGAAUUAUAUCAUCAUGAUACAUUUUUGGUUUUUAGUUAGUUUUUACGUUAUUAUUCAAAUGUUUUCAAUUACAAAUUUUGAAGAGACAGCUGAAGAUAAAAAUGACACUUGAAGUAGUUUUGUUAAUUUUGCUUGCAUGCCUGGUAGUUUCUCAAUUUUUGCCGUCAUGAUUCAGUCUUGACAAUGCUUUGUUUUUUCAUUUUCUUGGUUAUUAUUGGUUUCAUGACAUACAUUAUAGAAAAUGUUGUAGUUCUAUACUUAAGUUAAUAUAAUUUGUAUCAAACAGCCCUGUUUACAGCAUAUGAUCACUGAGUAGUUGAAUAACAAUGGAAGAAUAAUGAACAGAAAAGCUCAAUGCAGAAACAUUGCCAGCAGGAAAUGAAUGAAUAGGGGACUGACACAUAACUGUCGUAGAUGUUAUUCUGGUUUUAUUAAAAUACAGUGACCACCAAUGCAUAACGCAGUGACCACCAAUGCAUAACGCAGUGAUGCUCAGUUCUCAAAUAUAAGCAAAACAGAAUGCCCACUUCUCUACCCUCUCCUAAUUUAAGCUAAUUCCUACUUCUAUAUAACUGUAAGCACUUAGAUAUUCUAAAUUUCUAACUAAAACUAUUAUAAUUUCCAAGUAACUGGGGUCCUUUCAAAAUCGUUAAGAUUACCAGUAAUUGACCAUUGUUCAAAUCUACAAACAUCCAUGACUCCAAAAAGCAGUGUGCACUAACAAGAUGUAGAGACAAUUUUAAGUUGAAGGGGCUACAUCAUACACUAGUAAGACACCAUAACAUAAUUCAUUACUUAGAAUGAUAAUGGUAGCACAAUUUCAUUCCAUUGAAAUGAAUUUUGGUUAUUGAUCCAUUCCACAUGCUCUAACAAAUAACAAGGGGCUUCCUCCACUCCUCCAAGACAUUCAAAAAGUUUACCGCAUUUUUAACUGUAGACAUGUCUAUUUCAUGAGACUUUUGGUUAAAAUGAAAGGCAAAAAAGCAUAGGAUGGUUAUGUGAUAACAGUACAAACUAGUAGACUACUGAGCUGAAACAAAUGUUCCCAUUAUAGAUAAGAUAAACAUAUUUAAAACACGAGGGUAACCAUCAAGAUAAAAUUCAUCAGAAUUACCCUCAGCCUACAAAAUAUAUGGUAUUCUUUUAUUCUGCUGUGCUUUAUCAACAGAAAUAAACAAACCUUUGUAUUGAAUUGAAAAUCACCACUAAAAAGAAUUAUAUAGACGCUGACACCAAAAGCUAAAGCAGAUAAAAUCAAAGUCCAAUUUAGCAUUGAAAUAGACAAGUUGGAAGUUAGGAUAAGUACCAUCAAAAGCCGUCAAACACUACAUUACAUCUGAAGGCUUGAUCUUACCUCUAUAGAGGUCUGGUAAGACAGGCAAAUCUUUCUGAAGACUGAUCACAAAAUUUUCCAGAAAUUUUUCUUCAGUUAUGCAUAUAAUGGAACUAAAGGAUACAUUAUUCUCAAGCAAACCUUUUGAUUUCAAGAUUUUGAUUACCGAGAAUCUAGGGAUAAUCCUCUUCUCUAAGUUGUAUGCUACAACUUGAGGAUACUCAGCGAUUUCUUCUGAUGGCCAACCCAUAUCAUUCACUAGGAAAUUCAUUUUCUUGCUAAAUGCCUCCUCUGACAACCUCAUUACAUUGGGAAACUUUCGAAAUGCUUGAAGAGCCAUUUCACGGUUCCAGCCCCACCUCUCAUAAACCUUAAACCUUGAUUCCCAUACUGCUUUGCUGCUAAUCAGAAGCAUUUCAAUGGCCACAAUAAAAUUUGUUCUCAAAGGAUUAAACCCGAUUUCCUUAGCAGUGUUGACAGCUUCCACAAAUCUGGAAUGCUUCCAGUAGGCUACAGUCCCACAAUGGAUCAUCAUGAAAGAGAUAGAAGCUUGGGGCACACCAGACUGCCUCAAAACCUCAAUGUUUGGAACCAAGUUCAUUGCGUCACCAUAAUUAAUACCAAAUCGGGAACUUGUUAUAGCUCUAACGACUUCCUGAUCAUCACCAAGUACACGUCUGAGGAUCUCAUAUCUUGGGAUGAAGAAUUUUUUCAAGCUCCUCUUCAAGCUAUGGUUAGCAAUUAAAAUCUUAGGCAUGUCAGUGUUGGAAACCCCAAUAGAACGUAAGAACUUGAGUUUAGGCAAAAGGGUAUUCUCUGCAUCCGCAAGAAGCACCAAAGGGUGUUUCUCAACAAGUUUUGCAACCUGGAUUUUGUCAAACCCAUAGUUGUUGAGAAGAUCAAGAACAGCAUUUGGGCCAUGUGGGGUUUUCAAAUUGACCUUAUUGGAGAGUUUCCUGGCCAGUGUUGGGGACACCCCACAUGAGUUGAUGAGGUAAGACACAGUAAAGGUGCCACCUUUUUGGUGGUUUCCAUCUGAUUCAGAAUCAGAAGAGGUUCCUGAAGUGAAUGAAUUGAAUAAAAGAAGGAAAGCAUUGCGUUUGUGUUGCAGCAGAGAACCCAAUUGGAUAUGGGUACUUCUGUGGUGUGUGAGUGAUACAGCUAACCUUGCAAUGAGAAAAUUAGGAACCAUUUAUUCACUCACGGAUUUCAGUGAACGUUGACGGGUUUGGCUUAAGAACACUGAAGCUAGCCUAUUCCCACGGAGACAGGUAACUGGGUUUUGGAAUAUCUGGGGUUGCUGAGAAGACGAAGGACAUCACUUGCAGUGAAUAUUUUAGGAAUAUUAUAUUAAGGAAUAUUACUCUUAUGAAUAUGUUUAGUUGAUAUUUAAUAAUUUUAGAAAAAAUUAUUUAGGGAUUAAUUAGAUUAGGAUUUUAAAAGAUUAUUUUAACCUAAAAUAUUAUUAUGAAUUUUAAAGAUUACAUUGGAAUAUUAUGAUUUAUCAAAUGUCUUUAUAACAUUUUUAUGAUAGUUUAAAUUUAUAAAUUUAUAAAAUUUGAAAAAGUUUUAUAAAAUUUUAAAAGUACAUUUAAAAUUACAAAAAUUAGUGAAAAAUUAAUAAAAAUUGAUGAGAUUUGGAUAAAAAAAAUCAAUAUAAUUUUUGUAAUCUUUUUAAUAAUUAUAUUGAUUUUAACUUUAUAUUCUCUUAUAUACUAUAAGAGAUUAGUAAGAUUGAAAAAUUGAUAGAAGGAUUAUCGAAUUAUGUGAAUGAAGAAAUUGAGGGUUCAGUAAAAGGAAAGGAUUGUGUCCAAAUAAGUGAUGAGCAUAGUCAAUAAAAGAAAAGUAUGAUUAGUCUUAGCACAUAAAACAAUCAUUAAUUCUUAAUUUAGAAAACAAUAGAAAAAAGUGUAGGGAGAGAAAUAUAUUUAACAUUUUUUUUACUACAAAAGAGUAAGAGAAAUGUGAAUGUAUAUUUAAGAAUAUUAAAAAAGAGAAAAAAGGUAUGUGUGAUGAUAGAAAAUGAAGUUUGAUAACCAAUAGAAAAAAAAAAAAAAAGUCUAACGAUUCAAGAGUUUGAGUGAGAUUGUUUAAUAGAUGUUUUAUAUUAAAAAGUAUGAUGGAAUCUAUUGAAUUCAUUCUUAAAAAAUAAUCCAUCAAAAUUUGUAUAUUUUUUAAUAUCAAAAGACUUUUUAUAAGUUAUAAAAAUUUUAACUAAAUACCACCAAAUUUUGUUAUCUUUUUAAAAAAAUCUUAAAAGUCUUAAUUGAAUAUCACAACAUUUAUUUAUAUUAUUUUAAAAUCCUAAAUAAACACCAUGAUACUUUUUAUAAAAAAAAAUCUUUUAAAAUCUUUUGGAAUCCUUUAAAAAUUGAAAAGAGAAAAAGUGAAAGAAGUGUGAAAUCAUGAUGAGGGAAGAGGUAGUUGUAGAGAAUUGAAAUGUAACAUACACACCUUUCAUUGUGAAAAUAAGAAGGAAGGUAAAUAUGAAGAUUUUAUAUUGAAUUUGUGUCACACCUUUCAUUGUUAAAAAUGAAAAAUGUUUAUGUCACACACUAAUAAUAUAAAGAUUUACAUUCACAUUCAAUUAUAAAUAACUAAAGGUAGGAUUUUUAAGAUUGUUAUUAUAAAAAUUAAAAAUUUAUAGAUAUAAUUGGAAGAUAAUAUAUAAUUACUUUAUAUUUUGGUGCAUAACAUUUUCUCUCUCUCUUAUUUAGAUAGUGAAACUUCUGUAUGUUAUUAUGUUUGAAACUAUUAGGGACACAUAAGUUGUAACAAUUUUAAAAUAUAAAAAGAUGACUUCUUUUUUUUAUCAAGAGGGUCUAAUUUAAUUAUUUGAAGCAAUAUACAUGAGUUAUUCUGAUACUAAAUUUCAACUCCUUUUAAAAUUAAAAUAAAAAGAUGACUUUCUCUCGUGUAUACCUUUUUCUUCUUCUCUCACUAAUGUUGCUUGGGCAAGAACAAAAUAUUAACUUGCAAAUUGAAUAUUGAAUCGAUUUCUGAUGAAUAUUUUUUACUUGAGAUGUAUACAAUUAAAACUUGAAAAAGAUUAUACACUUUUGUAGCUUUCUGAUUUCUAGUGAACAGAAUUUACAAGCAUAAACAAUUUUUGAUGCUCAUUGAAACAACUUUUACAUACUUCUUGUAACCAUCUUGGUUAACUUUUGGGGGCCUAGAAGUGCUCUUCCAUAAGCAGCAGGUAGUGAUAAGAGCUUCUUAACUUUUCCUACAUAAGCUCUUUUAGUGAAGUUAUUGUAGUCAUUAGCUUC